rnacentral:rRNA from 1 species
UACGGAGGAUGCGAGCGUUAUCCGGAUUUAUUGGGUUUAAAGGGUGCGUAGGCGGCUUAGUAAGUCAGCGGUGAAAUUUUGCAGCUUAACUGUAACAGUGCCGUUGAUACUGCCAGGCUAGGAUUUGGUUGCUGUGGGUGGAAUGUGUGGUGUAGCGGUGAAAUGCUUAGAUAUCACACAGAACACCGAUUGCGAAGGCAUCUCACAAAGCCGUUAUUGACGCUGAGGCACGAAAGUGUGGGGAUCAAACAGGAUUAGA